rnacentral:lncRNA from 10 species
GUGGGCAGCGCGCUCUUGCUCUGCUCAGUUUAACGAAGAUUCUGCUCCUGAAACUUAGUACAGAUAAAAAGGGCAGCGGUCCGUUUCAUUUUAGACAGGAAAAUGAGGGCGCAAAAGGGGACUGAGGGAGAGAGGCCAGAGAACAAGACAGCAGGUUCGUGCUGGUGGCAGGUGGAUGGGUAGAAGGUUCCUUGAGAGCGGAAUUUCCUAUUUGGAUGCCUGUGCAGAGGGAAGUGGCUGUAAAGAUCAAGUAGCUUUGAUAACGCCAAGGUAGCCUGGACAACAGAAGCCCAGGGAAGGAAAGGGGGCGGGACUUAUGCUGCCAGAAAGGAUGAUCACUAUCCGGAUCUUCAGUAGGACCCGCGCCUCAGCGAGGGCGCGUGUAGAGGAGAUGUGGGUAUGGGCCAUGUGCAGGGAGCAUAAUGCCUGCGUCUCCAGCGCAGGCCUGGCAUACAACAGGCACACCAUAAACAGCUAACACGUGGGCACUGUGCUAAAACUUUGCCAACUUGGUUGCAUUUAAUCCUUAGAACAAUUGAGCCCUCCUUACUCCCAUUUUACACACGGGAGACUGAGACCUGGAUGGGCUAAGUGACUUGGCCAUGACCACACAGCUCUUUGCAGCCGACCGAGGACUCAAACCUUGGACUCCAAAACUCAUGCUAUGGGACAACUUCGUAUUUGGGAGGCGUAAUACAAAAGGGUUCAGCUUUGGGGCAGAGUGAAGGGGCACCGCGUUUCGAAGAUGGGCAGGGUAAGAACUGAAGCCACCAAAAGGCUUACUAUACCACACAACACCCAAGCCUUCCUUUGGGGCAUGGGGACAGUGGAUCUAUGGCUCCUCAGGGUGCCAACCAAUUGAAGAAGGAAGCCAGCUCCACUCAACAGCUUCUACAAAGGAAGGGCCACAGGAGAGGGGCUUCAGUGGUUCCAGGCAGCUGCUUCAUUCACAACAGAAUGGCCAUUUUCUCCAGCAUGGCCAACUAUCCCUAGUCUUUUUGUCAUGACAGCCUAGAAGGCAGAAGCUAGGGCCAAGGCGGCUGCUAAGGAAUUCCUACUCCUACUGGGGCCUAAUGUCAGGCUUUCCUUAUAUUGUGGAGUGGGCCCUGGAAGAUAGUUAGAGACCCUUCCUGCUGGGCACCCUGAAGAGGAGCAAGAGGAUCUGGUGAGCAAAAUGAAGCAAAAGUGCAGUGCUGGAGCUGACAGCCCUGUUCCCUACUGCACGCAGUUGGCUCAGGGCUGUCCCCCACUUUGGAGCUUCUUGCCACUCACGGGCUACCCUGCACACACUACUUACUGCCCAGGCCUGUCUGCCACCACAGUACCCUGUGCCUGAGACCUUUCCUGGCCUCUGCUGGAUCCCAGGCCUAGUAUCAUUCCUAGGGACUCCAGAGGCAAGUCCAGGCUAAUAUGCUCUGGGAAAACAAUGUACAAUGUACAUGUUUGCCUUUUGACGUAGAUAAAUGAUACCUGGAUCCCAGGUCUGGCUCUGGGGCAGGGGAGCUUCAGGCCUGGCUAUGGCAGAACACUGAAGGAGGUACUUUGGGUUUUCACAACCUCUUAAAUCAUCUCAGAGAGAGAGUGAACAACUUACUUUCACAUGCACAAGCUGCCGCUGGCUCUGUCACAAGAAGAUGGACUACAAGUAAUAAAAUCAAGAUGAAGUUCUGUGUACAUCUUUCCAGCUUACAAGAAUUGUAGAAAGUUGAAGAUGAAAGGGAUAUUAAAGAGCAUCUCAUUCUACCUCCUCAUUUUGCAGCUGUAAGAACCGAGGCCCAGGGAGGGGGACUGGGGAAGCCACCAUCACACAGCUGCUCCGUGGCAGGAGUUGUGCUAACUUUCUGUGGCUGUUGCCAUUACACCCAGCAUCUUUUGACUUUUGAAAACAGCGAAGGAGAAAUCAGUCCUCCCAGCAUCUUCACCUCCCACGACGUUUAUUGUUUCCAGCUGUUAAAAAUUGGCCCUUUAAAAAUGGGUCGUCUUGCCAGUCAUUGAGGGUCACCGCGGUGGGGAGUGCUGAUUUAGAGGGCGGCAGAACAGGGAGGUGAUUGGAGGCAUAAUUGCCAGUCUCCUCCUUGGCACCUGGGGAUUUCUGUCAUUCAAGUCUCAGGGUGUGUGCCCUCAGCAAAUACUAACCCACAGAGUCAAUUGCUAACUGCAGUCAUCUGUGCAUUUGCCCUCUGGGGAUGGAAAGCCAUAAGAAAUGCCAUUUCCUAAUCUAGUUGGCCUUGGAUGAGAAGAUGUUUUUGCCUAAUGGAAGCCUUUGGAGAGUGAAUAAUGUGAAUAAUGUGUAUUUAGGACCUACAGUGCUCCCCAGGAUGCUGUAAGGGACCUGGUUAUAAAGAAAAAAACCUCACUGAUGGUCUUGGCUUUGUCCUUGUCUGAGUUAAGUCCUUUUGGUUGGAAGUAAUCAACUUGAGCUGACGUAAGCAUUAAGGGACAUAGAAGAGUAUAGCAGUAUCUCAUGAAGUCCAAGGGCAGAUGGCCUCAAGGUAGCCCGAGAAGCUGCUAGGAACCUAGACAGUCCACCUUCUCCAGCUUUCUUCUCUGCUUCGUGUCUCCCUCUGCAAUCCACUUUCUUCUCUGUGAGUAGCUGGGCAGAGGAUAAUCCCUCAACAACUAUCACAUCUACAUCUUCUCUCCUAAAGAGAUUAGCCAAAGGUGAGUGGCUGUCCUCAGUCCAAUACCAGAUUCCUGGGAGAGGGAAUUUGGUUGUCCCAGCCUGGGUCAGGUGCACAGCUUGAUCCAAUCAGGUGUGCCCAGGAGAGGGUGCCCUGAGACAGGCACAUCUGGGGACACUCAUCCUCAUGAAUGACCGGACAGUUCUCCAGGAAAGAAGAGAGAAGAGUGGAGGUCAGACAUUUCAAAUGUAUAUUAUAGGCAUCAAAUUAGUUACUGAUACAGAAAAAUGGCAAUGUCUAAGUAGGGGGCUUGAGAAACAGUUCAAACACUGUAUAGAUUUUGAUUAUUUGCUUAACUUCCAGGAUGAUAAAUUGUCUAUUAUGGAGCUGUAUUUUUUUUUUGGAGACAGAGUCUUGCUGUUUGGCUGGAGUGCAGUGGCGUGAUCUCGGCUCACCACAACCUCCACCUCCAGGUUCAAGCAAUUCUCCUGCCUCAGCCUCCCGAGUAGCUGGGAUUACAGGUGCCCACCACCAGCCCUGGCUAAUUUUUGUAUUUUUAGUAGAAACGGGGUUUCACCAUGUUGGCCAGGCUGGUCUAGAACUCCUGACCUCAAGUGAUCCGCCCUUCUCGGCCUCCCAAAGUGCCAGGAUUACAGGCGUGAGCCACCAUGCCCAGGUGGAGCUGAAUUUUUUUUUUUUUUUUUGAGGUGGGAGGAUGGAGUCUCGCUUUUUCGCCCAGGCUGGAGUGCAAUGGCACGAUCUUGGCUCACUGCAACCUCCGCCUCCCAGGUCCAAGCAAUUCUUCUGCCUCAGCCUCCCCAGUAGCUGGGAUUACAGGCAUGUGCCACCACACCCGGGUAAUUUUUGUAUUUUUAGUAGAGACAAGGUUUCACCAUGUUGGCCAGGCUGGUCUCGAACUCCUGACCUCAAGUGAUCCACCCAUCGCAGCCUCCCAAAGUGCUAGGAUUACAGGCAUGAGCCACCGCGCCCAGCCAAUCUUUUUAUAUAGUAGAUUUCUUGCAAUGUAACCCCUAUCCUCUGGGCUUUGUGUAAAAAGUGCAUUCAGACAAUCUGAGGAGUGUCUUAAUUUUUUGUGUGACUAUCAUAUAUAUUUUCAUCCUGUUGAGGUGUGUUUGCUAGGUGGAUAUUGAACAUGAAAUCAAAGUAUAAUUUUAAACUUGUGUUGAAAUAUAUGUGUAUAAGCAUAUGUGCACAAUUACCUAUAUUGUCAAACACCCAACCUGCUUUCCAAAGGAUUUGAAGCAAGGUCUAAUAAAAACACAGAAAAAGUAUGGCCAAGAGCUGUAAACACCAAAAAAAGAAGUAAAGGGCAAGUCGCAAACAGACUGCAGUUGAGCAAAGCUGCAAAGGACUAUAAUACCAGGCCUGAAGUGGUUGCUAAAUGUAGCUCUGAGCUUUCUGACAUUCAAAGCCAAAAAUAGGUAUAUUUUAUUAUUUAAACAGUGUCUACUCUGAGGUCCUCAAAACUCUUUCAGGGGGCCCACAGAUCAAAACUAUUUUCAUAAUAACACCAAGACAUUGUUUGCAUCUUUCAUUGUCAUUCUCUUAGGAGUGUACAGUGGAGUUUUCCAGAAGGCAUAUGCCAUGUGCAUCACCACAGCUUAAAUGCAGAAACAGACAUGAGGAUCUAGCUGUGUCCUACUAAGCCAGACAUUCAGGACAUCUAAAAGUGUAAAACAAUGCCACUCUUCUCACUAACUUUUUUGUUUUGGAAAAUAUAUCUUUCAUAAAAUAUUGAUUAUGUUGAUAUAUUACGGGUUUGUUGUUAUUAUUUUAAAUGAAUUAAUAAAUAAUUUUCUGAUUUAAUUUCUAUUACUGUAAAUAUUGAUGGAUAUAUCCU